rnacentral:rRNA from 1 species
GACGAACGCUGGCGGCGUGCUUAACACAUGCAAGUCGAACGGAAAGGCUCCAGCUUGCUGGAGUGCUCGAGUGGCGAACGGGUGAGUAACACGUGGGCAAUCUGCCCUGCACUCUGGGAUAAGCCUGGGAAACUGGGUCUAAUACCGGAUAGGACCUUUCUCCUCAUGGGGUUUGGUGGAAAGUUUUUCGGUGCAGGAUGAGCCCGCGGCCUAUCAGCUUGUUGGUGGGGUAAUGGCCUACCAAGGCGACGACGGGUAGCCGGCCUGAGAGGGUGAUCGGCCACAUUGGGACUGAGAUACGGCCCAGACUCCUACGGGAGGCAGCAGUGGGGAAUAUUGCACAAUGGGCGAAAGCCUGAUGCAGCGACGCCGCGUGAGGGAUGACAGCCUUCGGGUUGUAAACCUCUUUCAGUAGGGACGAAGCGCAAGUGACGGUACCUGCAGAAGAAGCACCGGCUAACUACGUG